UUACGACCAUAUCACAUUGAAACACCGGUUCACGUAAGAUCAUCGAAGUUAAGCAACGUUGAGCCUAGUCAGUACCUAGAUGGGUAACCGCUUGGGAAUACCAUGUGCUGUUG